rnacentral:rRNA from 1 species
CCUACGGGACGCACCAGUGGGGAAUCUUGGACAAUGGGCGAAAGCCCGAUCCAGCAAUAUCGCGUGAGUGAAGAAGGGCAAUGCCGCUUGUAAAGCUCUUCCGUCGAGUGCGCGAUCAUGACAGGACUCGAGGAAGAAGCCCCGGCUAACUCCGUGCCAGCAGCCGCGGUAAGACGGGGGGGGCAAGUGUUCUUCGGAAUGACUGGGCGUAAAGGGCGCGUAGGCGGUUUAUGCAGUCAGAUGUGAAAUCCCCGGGCUUAACCUGGGAACUGCAUUUGAGACGCAUAGACUAGAGGUCGAGAGAGGGUUGUGGAAUUCCCAGUGUAGAGGUGAAAUUCGUAGAUAUUGGGAAGAACACCGGUGGCGAAGGCGGCAACCUGGCUCGAUACUGACGCUGAGGCGCGAAAGCGUGGGGAGCAAACAGGAUUAGAUACCCGCGUAGUC